UGGGGAAUAUUGCACAAUGGGCGCAAGCCUGAUGCAGCCAUGCCGCGUGUAUGAAGAAGGCCUUCGGGUUGUAAAGUACUUUCAGCGAGGAGGAAGGCAGUAAGGUUAAUAACCUUAUUGAUUGACGUUACUCGCAGAAGAAGCACCGGCUAACUCCGUGCCAGCAGCCGCGGUAAUACGGAGGGUGCAAGCGUUAAUCGGAAUUACUGGGCGUAAAGCGCACGCAGGCGGUCUGUCAAGUCGGAUGUGAAAUCCCCGGGCUCAACCUGGGAACUGCAUUCGAAACUGGCAGGCUGGAGUCUUGUAGAGGGGGGUAGAAGUCCAGGUGUAGCGGUGAAAUGCGUAGAGAUCUGGAGGAAUACCGGUGGCGAAGGCGGCCCCCUGGACAAAGACUGACGCUCAGGUGCGAAAGCGUGGGGAGCAAACA
rnacentral:rRNA from 1 species